UACGUAGGGCGCAAGCGUUGUCCGGAAUUAUUGGGCGUAAAGAGCUCGUAGGCGGUUUGUUACGUCUGCUGUGAAAACCUAGGGCUUAACCCUGGGCCUGCAGUGGAUACGGGCAGACUAGAGGUAGGUAGGGGAGAAUGGAACUCCUGGUGUAGCGGUGGAAUGCGCAGAUAUCAGGAAGAACACCGAUGGCGAAGGCAGUUCUCUGGGCCGUAACUGACGCUGAGGAGCGAAAGCGUGGGGAGCGAACAGG
rnacentral:rRNA from 1 species